UUGCGUAUGCCCUGUCGAUAAAUUCCUUGGAUCCAUUCAAGAAGAUUCCUUGCCAUUAUGUCCGUUGAAGCAUCAUCAACGUCACGUGUGACUCUCGUACGCUCUGAAUUAAAAUAAAUAAUAAUUAUUCACAUCAACCGAGUGCACAGUCAACUUACUCGAGUUUAAUGAUGUGAAUUUUCCAUUGUGAUCGGUAGCAGCAUCAGCCACCACCAGCAGACUUAUUAAUGCAGCAGCAGCAACAGAGUACAGGAGCGCUGCUAGACACCUCAUGUUCCUGGGAAAAAAAUAAAAAUAAAAAAUAAAAAAACAUAAACAAACAAGCGAAUAAAGGGAGACAUUAUAAUCAUGUGGUGCGUUGUCACGAAUAACGAAUAUUACACAAUACCUCUAGCUCUAAGGCACAACUAUCGAUCAUCGCGCAGAUCAUCUGUGAGAAAGUAGAAAGCGAACAUCAACUAUUAUGAAAUAAUAAUAAAAGGAGCUGAGAGCCUUGAACGUACAGCUUUAAUUUUUCGUGGUAUCAAAUACACCAACUAACGAUAUGUAUAUAAGUAUAAAUAAUAAUAAAAAGUAAUGUCGCUGCAGGCAUUACAUGGGUAUUUAUGCAGACGCUAAAUGUCGUGUACAGAGAGUAGGAUUUUUAUAAUUAUUUUUUUAUAAACAAUGCGACAGUGUCAACAGAUGCGCAUUAUAAAUUGCAGUAGAUACUCUCGAACAGGCUACAGAGGGAAAAUAAAAAUAACAAGGAUGUUGUUGAUAACUUUCACUGUCAAAGGGUACAGCUUUCGUUGCCUGACCUUGAUGUACUGGCUUUAUCUUGGGUAUAAAAAAAAAAUAGCAGUUUCCCUUUGCUAUUAUAUUAUUCAAUAGUUUUAUUCAGCAGAUAUCUCCAGAGUCGGAGUGUGGAUGUGUGCAUGUGGAUUUACGACUCCCACGAGUCGUGCGCACAUGUCCUCAGUCACCGCUGCCUUACUCGUCCUCAUCUCAGUGGUAUCUUGCUGCUGGUAUUGAAGAAUCCGUGGCAAUCUAUAUAGUGUACCCCGCUAAGUAGGAAGAAGUUAUAAGGCAGAAAUGCUGUAGGUUCGCGGAUAAGUUAAGCCAUGGAAUCGUGCGAGCUAUUGCUGAGGUGAAAGGUGAAAGUCGCAUCAGUUAGACUCAUCUGCUCGGCACGAUCUUCUGAUGUCUGUGGUCGUGAAAAUCCUACUAGUGUAGAGUACACUAGGAUAGUGUUGCAUGAUGCAUAUCCACUACCAGCUUCUAUCUUCUCCAGUUACCAGGCUAUCGCGGACGACAUCCGAGAGAAAAUAAAUAAAUUUAAAAAAAGAAAAAAAAAAAUGCCUUUAAUGUUAUUUAUUUUUUUCUUUUAUAUUAAAAUAAUGACAAUGAUGAUUAAAAUUUAUUAUUCAUUUUUCAGGUAUUGUGGUGUUAAUUAUUCCCCAAUUAACACGCCAGCGGUCUGAUGAAGCAAGCUUGCGUAAUCUGCGAAAAAACCGGGUGACUUCUUUGAGUGGGAACUCGAGGCUAUCUCCACCACCUUGCUUUGUACUCAACGCUACUGUUUGCGGCUUUUGGAGCUUGGCAAUAUCUACAGAUGUGGUAAGCUAAGCAGAGUAAACUAAAUUCAAAAGGAGUGUGUUUACCGCAAGAGUAUUUAAUGUGCAAACAUUGUAAGAAUUAUAAAUAUUAUGCUGCGGACAAUAUAACAAAAUACUUAAAAGAGAAGAAAUAAACUUGUAGGCUAUAUUAUAAACGUAUAAUCAUCUUCACGUCUUGGUACUUUGGUUAAUAAACGCUUUCAUAAUGUCAACGCGGUCAGGAUGAAACGACUUGGUUACUUU